UUAAGGAUAUGUCUUAGCACUUUUCACUUCUACUGCAUCUACCAAAUAUGCUAGGUUAAACCAUAGAAAGUUGCUUUCUUGGUAGUUGAAACAUGGUUGAAUAUUCAGUCUUAUAUGGUAUAACCUAAUCAAGCAGUAUCUUGGUAGAAUAAAAUUAAUAAAAACAAGACUUCCCUCUACACAGCUUUAAUUGACAAAAGAAAAUCUGAUACAGACAGAUCUGAAUGACUUACAGACAGCUAACUAAUGAGAUAAUAAAUAAUUUUUUCUUGAUGAGUCCAAGGAAGUUAAUAUAUCUAGCUUUUACAGCAAACCUACAAAUCUAUUUUUGAAUUAGGAGACCCAGGGAAGACUAAGUUCCCUAAUAGGCCAAAGUUUAAAUUCCUACUUCAGCGAAAAUUUUUUAAGGAGAGUAAAGAAUAAAAGUAAAUAAACAAAUGCAGAGAGAAAGAGAGGAAGAGAGAGAGAAAAGCAUUAGUGGCAGAACACUUCUGGCGGAAAAACUAAAGGUGGUACAUUCGUUUGGGUUCUGCAAUGGCCAGCAUCCCUGCUGCUGGGAAGAAAGUAUUUAAAGUGGGUUUGCUAUCAUUAGUGUUUUAAUGAUGUCAUGUUGAUUAUGCAUGUGGCCUAAGGUUUUUAAACAUCUGGUGUCUUUUGUAAACGAAACUAAUAAACAAAGGCUUCUCAUAGCAACAACAGAGGCAUUUCCCAGCAAAGCUCUUAAAAUGGCUUACAUCACUUGGCAACAGGCUAUUUAGAGACGCAAGGAAACGUGUUAGGAAACCAGCUCUCUUUUCUUCCACAUCCGAAUUCCCCACUGUCGCCAGGCCCUAGGCUGCCACCUCACCCCGUCCGCCUGAGUGUGUUCUCCCCCACUUCCUUUAGAAAGGCAGGGUCCCUUUCCCUCACACACAGGACGGCUUCUCUCCCUACUGGGAGGCCCUGUCUGUAGAGAACAGGCUGGCUUUUCUUGCCGGGCAGUCUGGCCAUCGGGCCGGCGGGGCAAUACACCAGGGCCACACACAGGUAACAGACACGUCGGAGUGAAAACAGGACCAAAGCUCUGAAUGGAGAUCUGGUUUUGAGAGCGUGCGGCAUUGAGCAGGACCGUGAAGGCAGGCACCACAGACAGCGCGAUCAGCAGGAGCAGCAGCGCUUCUUCUGCGGAGCAGAGCCUCCCUUUCUCAUCCCCCAAACCGCACCGGGGUGCGCUGUGAGGACAGCAGUGCGCGACUUCCCUCCCCGUUUCUUGAAUGCAGCUGUGACUUCCUUCCUGGACAAACUAGUACAAGAGUGCCUACUGCCCUGCCAGAGGAAGACGGCCACACGCCUGCUCUCGGCCAUGACAGGAGAAGACUGUAGGGGACCUAGAACACACACUGUUUGCGGUUCAUGUUUCUCCAGGAAUUUCCCGCUCAGCCUCAUGGGGUAAUGAGAUUAAGGAGGAGAACAAUUCUGUGUGGAGAGCCUCUGGCUUGUUGGAAGUUCCACUGAGCAAGAAGUUCUGACAUCUGAUCUGGGUGAAGUUUCAAAGCUGUAUACUAACCGGAGAGGGUUCUGCCUCUAAGGGAUUUUUGCCUGGGGGACAAUCAAAGACUGAAAAAUUAACUUCUAGGCACCAAGGAUAUGGCUCAGCGGCAUAAGUGCCUGCCUGGCAAGCCCCAGGUCCUGAGCUGGAUUCCCAGUAUCCACUCCCCCAAAUAAAUACGAUUAAAUUAACUUUUAAAGACUAGAGUUAGUAUAAAGUAUGUUUAUGUAACUUAAUAUGUAAAGUUAUAGCAUUUGAUGCUAUUUUAAAGUUAAGUCCUUUUUGCUUUUAAAUUGAUGCACAUUUCUACUUCUAAAUUAAGUGAAGAAUUUGUCAUCUCUUAGCAAAGCGUAUGUUUUCUCGCGUGGCGCACAUGUCCCUUACUAAGGCACUCACUCUGCUGGUUCUGCAUCUGAGGGAAGCAGACAAUGGCGUCCCCACUGUAGAGCUUGUAGCACACCUGGCGUGGAGCCCAGGACUCCCUUGCUCUGUGAUACUUUUGUCUAGAAUGAAAGGUCUACAGUC